rnacentral:rRNA from 1 species
GACGAACGCUGGCGGCGUGCCUAACACAUGCAAGUCGAACGGAACGGUUUUGCAAGAUUUCUGCGGUAUGAAUUCGAUUUAGUUUAUUGGCGGACGGUUGAGUAACGCGUGCGUAACCUGCCUUCCAGAGGGGAAUAGCAAUCAGAGAAGAAUGCUAAUACCGCAUGGCAUAGCGGUGCCACGUGGUUUUGGUAGGGAAUAUUUUAUCGCUUGAAGAUGGUCUCGGGUGCGUAUAGUUAGUGGGUGAGGUAACGGCCUACCCUGACAGCGAUCGGUAGCCGGACUGAGUGAUCGGCCGGCGUCGUUGGGACAGACACCCCGCACUGACUCCUGAGGGAGGCGGCAGGGAGGGAGCUUGCGGAAUGGGGGCAAGCCGGACGAAGCCACGCCGCGUGAAGAAGGAAGGUGUUCGGAUUGUAAACUUCUUUUAUGACGGACGGAGAAUGACGGUACUUAAUGAAGAAGCACCGGCUAACUACGUG